AUGAACGCUGGCGGCGUGCUUAACACAUGCAAGUCGAACGGAAAGGCCCCUUUGGGGGUACUCGUGUGGCGAACGGGUGAGUAACACGUGAGUAACCUGCCCUUGACUUCGGGAUAACUUCAGGAAACUGGGGCUAAUACCGGAUAGGAAUCCUUGCUGCAUGGUGGGGGUUGGAAAGCUUCGGCGGUUUUGGAUGGACUCGCGGCUUAUCAGCUUGUUGGUGGGGUAGUGGCUUACCAAGGCUUUGACGGGUAGCCGGCCUGAGGGGGCGACCGGCCACAUUGGGACUGAGAUACGGCCCAGACUCCUACGGGAGGCAGCAGGGGGGAAUUUUGCACAAGGGGCGGAAGCCUGAUGCAGCAACGCCGGGGGGGGGAUGACGGCCUUCGGUUUGUAAACCGCUUUCGCCAGGGGCGAAGCUUGUGGUGAGGGUACCGGCAAAAAAAGAACCGCCAAACUACGG
rnacentral:rRNA from 1 species